ACACACACAUUGGUUGACAGCCAAACGAUGAGUGACAAGUACUGUAUGACUGGCCGUCACAGAUAACCCCUAUCGUAAAUUCCUUCCAUCAUCCUCUCUUCCUAUAGUGUCAUAAAACCCCCUUCCAAAGACAUCUGUUUAUCACACAUUUCCAUGACAUCCCCAGGAUACAGCUGUUACAUUUCAUUAGGAUUGCACUGUAUUAAGCUUUAAUACCAUCAUUUUCAUAACAAUACCUUAUUAUGGCAGUCAUAACAUAAUGCAACCGUAUAAGGCGUGGUACAGUAGUUCAAAACAUGAGGCAGGGCUUAAUUCAUUUAUUUCCAUUCAUUUACUCCUGACCUACAAGUAGCUGCUUUUAACUGCUUUCCUUUGCUAAUAUUUGAAGUAUUUCUGAAUAAAUUAUACAUUGCUAAUUUACUUUCUGUUGUCAGUAAAAUGUGUAAGUGUUAUAAUCAUGGUUUAAUGUGUCGUGUGUUAUUUCUCACCAGGCUGAUGAGGCUGAGGCUGAGGCGGCUAAGGCUAAAAAACAGAGACAAGAAGAAUAUCUUAGCCACCCUUUCAGAAGAAAUGCUUUUCUGAUUAUCCAAAAAAUGGUAGAGCUGAACCGCUCCAGUGAAAAGAAAAAGAAAAAGUUAGUAGAUGAGGUUCUUCACAGCAUCUUCUUUUUGGGAAGGAUCAACAAACCACCAUUUUCACCGGAAGAUAUUGUGAAUGAUAAGUGGAUGUAUAAGAAGUUGAAGCGCCGCUACCCUCAGCCUUUUAAACAUUAUUCCUCUCAACUACCCAGGAGGAGUCCAUUCUCAUGUGUGCUCGACAUGAUUGUUUUCCUGGAAGGACAAGAGAAAGAAGAUGAAAUAAGAGAGAGGCUUCAAGAGAUCAAAACCAUCUGGUCUCCUACACCAUCUGUGUCUCUCAGAACAUGAACAACCAAAACUCAGUCUGCAGGUACUACGGGGUCUCCAUGUCCAGAAUUUCUGAUUUACACCGUAUCAUGAUUUCUGCGUCCUGUCUUGAAUACUGGGACAGGUAUGUUGCUGGUGCAGUGAUGACCUACCAUCCAAAUGAUACGGAACAUUUUAAUGGAACCAUUACACUUCCAGACCAGAGCAUGUCCGUUGCGAGACGUUUCAACUUUUCAAGCGGGAGAAAGAGGAAAUGAAACCUUGCAUAUCAUGUAAGAAUUUGUUUGGUUUGAUAAGAGAUACAUAUACAGAUAAACCGUCUCCCUAUGGCAACUGUGCAGAGGUUGAAAGUGUGAGCAACUUGUUUAAAAAUGAUGCAGAAGUUAGGGAGCAAGCACGACCAUCUGAAAAGAACAGGGAUAAGGCGGAGAAAAGUGUCAGGGAAGAUCUCACGAAUUGGCUCAAAACAUGUGACAUAAAAGGUCACAUAAAAUUCUACCCUACACGCAGAUCACGCAGAUCACGCAGAUCACGCUGAUCACGCUGAUCACGCUGAUCACGCAGAUCACUUGCAAGUCUGCAAGUUGGCCAGGGGCGGCCCUGAAUUCUACAUCCCCUAAAAGUUGAUAAAGGGGGAAAAUAUUGGACAUUAAAGAUUGAUAAGUCUAAUUAGCAUAGUCUUUUAUUAUUUAGUGAGCAGACACAUCUCUUGUGAUAUUAUUCACAAAUACUUAAACUUCAAACAAAUCAUCUCAUUUAGAUCCUCUUAUGAAAUUCCUGUUCUUCAAUCAAAUAUGUUGUGGUGACUAUUGCCACUCAAUAUCACCUGGGAUUGGCUAAACUGGGUAAACUAAUUGGACGCUUGCAAUUUCCAUGUACGAAGACGUUUUUAGCUUUCAAUAUCUUUUAUUUGCAAAGAAAAACAGUGUGUUCACAGACACGGUCAAAAAACUAUUGCUCUCCCAGUCACGAUCAAACACACCUGUGCCAGGAGAUCAGUUAUAAGUGUUGUUGCCCCAUUACGCCGUCUAUAGUGUUCAAAACAACAAAAUCAUAUAAACCAUUCUAAUGGGUGCAACAUGUCAUUCUUUAUCUUUGCUACUUGAUAGGUGUAACAGUGAAUUUAUAAAUGCAAAUGUUUGUCAACUGUUUGGAUGAAGCAUGCAGACAAUGAUGUAUUGAUCAUGUUAUUAAUAAUUCAAUAAAAAUAAUGUAAACUAAGGUU